rnacentral:ncRNA from 1 species
GAGUCUGCUGGGAGCCUGGAGUGAGGUGCUCACAAGGUGGGUUUUUGAGGUUUGGCUGGGACGGCAUCUGUUGAAUGAUAACGCAGGUGUCCUAAGCUAAGUUCAAUGAGAACAGAAAUUUCAUGUGGACCAAAAUAAGCAGAAAAGCUUGCCUCAUGUUGAUUCUCAGUACGAUUACAAACGGUGAAAACCCUAAACCUAAACCCGAAACCCUAAACCGUAACCCUAAACCCAAACCCUAUGUCAAUCCUUUAGGUCUGAGACAUAUUCAGCUGGAGGUGUCAGAAAAGUUUCCACAGGGACAACUGGGCUGUGGCAGCAAGCCGUUCAGAGCGACUUUGAUUUUUGAUCCUUCGAUGUCGGCUCUUCUUCCUGUCAUUGAGACGCAGCAGUCCCAAAGUGUUGGAUUGUUCACCCGCCAAUAGGGAACGUGAGCUGGGUUUAGACCGUCGUGAGACAGGUUAGUU